AUACGUAGGUGACAAGCGUUAUCCGGAUUUAUUGGGCGUAAAGAGUACGUAGGUGGUUGCGUAAGCGCAAGGUGAAAGACCGGGGCUUAACUUCGGUGAGCCUUGUGAACUGCGUGACUUGAGUGCAGGAGGGGAAAGUGGAAUUCCUAGUGUAGCGGUGAAAUGCGUAGAUAUUAGGAGGAACACCAGUGGCGAAGGCGACUUUCUGGACUGUAACUGACACUGAGGUACGGAAGCGUGGGGAGCAAACAGGAUUAGAUACCCUGGUAGUCCACGCCGUAAACGAUGAGCACUAGGUGUUGGCGUAGAAAUACGUCGGUGCCGAAGUUAACGCAUUAAGUGCUCCGCCUGGGGAGUACGCACGCAAGUGUGAAACUCAAAUGAAUUGGCGGGG
rnacentral:rRNA from 1 species